rnacentral:rRNA from 1 species
UUUUGUUGGAGAGUUUGAUCCUGGCUCAGGACGAACGCUGGCGGCGUGCUUAACACAUGCAAGUCGAGCGGAAAGGCCCUUCGGGGUACUCGAGCGGCGAACGGGUGAGUAACACGUGAGUAACCUGCCCUGGACUUUGGGAU